CUCCCAAACCCAAUGUGAACCAUACCAAACUGUUGCCUCGGCGGGGUCACGCCCCGGGUGCGUCGCAGCCCCGGAACCAGGCGCCCGCCGGAGGGACCAACCAAACUCUUUCUGUAGUCCCCUCGCGGACGUUAUUUCUUACAGCUCUGAGCAAAAAUUCAAAAUGAAUCAAAACUUUCAACAACGGAUCUCUUGGUUCUGGCAUCGAUGAAGAACGCAGCGAAAUGCGAUAAGUAAUGUGAAUUGCAGAAUUCAGUGAAUCAUCGAAUCUUUGAACGCACAUUGCGCCCGCCAGUAUUCUGGCGGGCAUGCCUGUCCGAGCGUCAUUUCAACCCUCGAACCCCUCCGGGGGGUCGGCGUUGGGGAUCGGGAACCCCUAAGACGGGAUCCCGGCCCCGAAAUACAGUGGCGGUCUCGCCGCAGCCUCUCCUGCGCAGUAGUUUGCACAACUCGCACCGGGAGCGCGGCGCGUCCACGUCCGUAAAACACCCAACUUCUGAAAUGUUGACCUCGGAUCAGGUAGGAAUACCC
rnacentral:rRNA from 1 species